AGAAUCAACGCUGGCGGCGCGCCUAACACAUGCAAGUCGAGCGAGAAAGUGGAGCAAUCCAUGAGUACAGCGGCGUACGGGUGAGUAACACGUGGGUGAUCUACCUCUUAGUGGGGAAUAACCAUGGGAAACCGUGGCUAAUACCGCAUAAGCCUUAGCAGGGAAAGUCGAAAGACGCUGAGAGAGGAGCCCGCGGCUGAUUAGCUAGUUGGUGGGGUAAAGGCCCACCAAGGCAGAGAUCGGUAGCCGGCCUGAGAGGGGCACACGGCCACACUGGCACUGAAACACGGGCCAGACUCCUACGGGAGGCAGCAGUGGGGAAUCUUGCACAAUGGGGGAAACCCUGAUGCAGCGACGCCGCGUGAGCGAUGAAGCCCUUCGGGGUGUAAAGCUCGUUUCGGCAGGGAAGAUUAUGACGGUACCUGCAGAGCAGCUGCGGCUAACUACGCGCCAGCAGCCGCGGU
rnacentral:rRNA from 1 species